rnacentral:tRNA from 1 species
ACCUUCGUGGUGUAGUGGUGAACACACUUGGCUUGUAUAGUUUGUACUGUUCAAGAGGUCCGGGGUUCGAGUCCCGGCGAGGGCA